UCGUGCGCGAAGGUGGCUUCGGCCACCGGAGAGCGGCGAACGGGUGAGUAACACGUGGGUGAUCUGCCUGGGAGCGGGGGAUAACCUGGGGAAACUCGGGCUAAUACCGCAUACGUUGAUCAGGUUGCGGCCUGGUCAAGAAAGCUGGCCUCUGUUUACAAGCUAGCGCCCCCAGAGGAGCCCGCGGCUGAUUAGCUAGUUGGUAGGGUAACGGCCUACCAAGGCGACGAUCAGUAGCCGGCCUGAGAGGGUGAUCGGCCACACUGGGACUGAGACACGGCCCAGACUCCUACGGGAGGCAGCAGUGGGGAAUAUUGGACAAUGGGCGCAAGCCUGAUCCAGCAACGCCGCGUGGAGGACGAAGGUCUUCGGAUCGUAAACUCCUGUCAGGCGGGACGAAGGUUCCGGGUCAAAUAGUCCUGGAACUUGACGGUACUGCCAGAGGAAGCCCCGGCUAACUCCGUGCCAGCAGCCGCGGUAAUACGGAGGGGGCGAGCGUUA
rnacentral:rRNA from 1 species